rnacentral:rRNA from 1 species
UACGAAGGGGGGCUAGCGUUGCUCGGAAUUACUGGGCGUAAAGCGCACGUAGGCGGAUUGUUAAGUCAGGGGUGAAAUCCUGGAGCUCAACUCCAGAACUGCCUUUGAUACUGAGGAUCUUGAGUUCGGGAGAGGUGAGUGGAACUGCGAGUGUAGAGGUGAAAUUCGUAGAUAUUCGCAAGAACACCAGUGGCGAAGGCGGCUCACUGGCCCGAUACUGACGCUGAGGCACGAAAGCGUGGGGGAGCAAACAGG